rnacentral:rRNA from 1 species
CGAGCGGAUGACGGGAGCUUGCUCCUUGAUUCAGCGGCGGACGGGUGAGUAAUGCCUAGGAAUCUGCCUGGUAGUGGGGGACAACGUUUCGAAAGGAACGCUAAUACCGCAUACGUCCUACGGGAGAAAGCAGGGGACCUUCGGGCCUUGCGCUAUCAGAUGAGCCUAGGUCGGAUUAGCUAGUUGGUGAGGUAAUGGCUCACCAAGGCGACGAUCCGUAACUGGUCUGAGAGGAUGAUCAGUCACACUGGAACUGAGACACGGUCCAGACUCCUACGGGAGGCAGCAGUGGGGAAUAUUGGACAAUGGGCGAAAGCCUGAUCCAGCCAUGCCGCGUGUGUGAAGAAGGUCUUCGGAUUGUAAAGCACUUUAAGUUGGGAGGAAGGGCAGUAAGUUAAUACCUUGCUGUUUUGACGUUACCGACAGAAUAAGCACCGGCUAACUCUGUGCCAGCAGCCGCGGUAAUACAGAGGGUGCAAGCGUUAAUCGGAAUUACUGGGCGUAAAGCGCGCGUAGGUGGUUUGUUAAGUUGGAUGUGAAAGCCCCGGGCUCAACCUGGGAACUGCAUCCAAAACUGGCAAGCUAGAGUACGGUAGAGGGUGGUGGAAUUUCCUGUGUAGCGGUGAAAUGCGUAGAUAU